CAUUCAAAGUUUAAUAUUAUAUUUUAGGUGAGGGGAAUGUAUUCUUUUUCAUUUCCGAGGAAGGAAUUCCGUGGAAGUUAAUGGGUUCUAAAAAUGAAAAUAAAUCUUUGGAAACCAUCAGAUAAUUCUCGAUUGUGCUCUAAACAUCUGAAGAAAAUCAAUUCAUACAGAAUUACGGCUCUCAAGCCAUUUCAAAAUUGUUUAAAAAUCUCAAACCUGAAGUUCCAAGGCUUAUCAAAAACUCUAACAAACCCAUUUUCAUUCCAGAGAACAAUGGUAAAUAAAGAUCUCCAGAAUUUCAGGAUCGUAUAUACUUAAUCCUUAUUUGGAACAUUAUACUUCCGAAAAUGGAGAAAUAAACUUAGUGGAUAUGAAUCUAAUUUGCUCAACAAUAGAAAAUGAAAUUUCUUUUAAUGUAUUACAGAUAUUUCUCCAGAGCUAAAACAUCUAAAGGAUAUUAAUACCAACCUACAAAUUCAACUUAGAUAUAUGAAGCAGAAAUAAAGAAAUCGAAGAAGAAGUUGAAGGAGAAAGAUGUCAAAAUUUGGGACGCACAAUCAAAGUUUAAGUCUUUAGAAAUGCGCCUCUCUUCGGUAUUUAAUUUAGACCAAAUAAAAAUUUUAAGUUGCAAGUCUUCAAAUUCCAAAAUCCACCUUUUGUCUAAUAAAACCAUCGAGAAUUCACUUAAGUUAAAAUUCGUUGCCGAACUAUAAAUCGUCCAAUAGAGGAUUAAUCUAUUGUGCCGAUAACUGUUUGGAAGAAUUUGCAAAAAUAGAAGCGUUAUUCAAAUCUUAUGAGUUAAAAAAAAAUAAUUAAACUUAAUAACUGAAGUAGCGGUUCCAUUAAUUAAGUAGUCUAUAAAUGUCCCCAAAUGGCAUAAUUUUUUUUAUAUCACUGUCUUUAUGUAUGCUAGGAUAAGAAUGCACAUACAUUUACAGUAAUAGGUAAAUUCGUAUAAAACA
rnacentral:lncRNA from 1 species